rnacentral:ncRNA from 1 species
GCUUAUCUCAGGGCGGGGUGAAAGUCCCCACCGGCGGUAACACCAGGCUGAGGCCAUGGUGAAGCCCGCGAGCGCUCCGUUUGUCGUUAUCUUUAUGAUGAGGCGGAGGUCAGCAGAUCCAGUGUAAUUCUGGAGCCGACGGUUAUAGUCCGGAUGGGAGAGAAUAACG